rnacentral:lncRNA from 1 species
AGAGACAGUAGGGUGAACAGAGGCUGAGAGGCCUGUCUGUUCCAGACUAACACACACGUGGGGAUUCAUUUUGCCUGGGCCAGCGUGGAGACACAACAGGUUGUACAAAGAGCGCUGAGGCUGACAGCCCUGGGCGAUCUCUGUGCUGGCUGCAGGUGGGACAUCCCUCCUCACUUUUGAAGUUCCAGCAGUGUACGCGGCAGGCUCAGCUAUGGUUGGUGGACAUUUCUUUUGAGACCCAGAUUGAGACUUUGAGCUCAGCCGGAUCAUGGUGGCAUACCCAGGCUGUUCCAGCCCCCGGUGGCUUCCAGUCCUUCUCAAGCUCUGCGAGAAAGCCAGACCCGAGAAAGCCAGACCUUGGUUUCUUCCGGCUGUAGUGAGGGGACCAGCAUGGCCCUCAGGAUCCCAGGUACCCAAGGAAAGGAUGGCCGGGCUGACCAGGAAGCAGCACAAGGCAUAUUCUCAGACUUGAAGUAGCUGCCUGCUGAUAAAGGAGAUUAAGGUGCCUGCAGAGGCCAAGAGCAUAUUACUCUGGAGCCUGAGUUACAGACAGCUGCAAGGCACACAAGGUGGACACUGGGGAUUCUGCAAGGGCAGGAGGUGCUCACAGCUGAGCUGCCUCUGCAGUCCUAGCACACCACUGUUUACCUUUGCACUCUGCUCGGAGGCAGCCUCAGCAUCAAGUGACAGCUCUACAUCUGGGGCAUCGACUGCAGAAACACACCCAUGGCUGACACAGCCGCUGCACCCCUGUGCCCAUACCUGCCGCUGCCAAUGGAUGGGAAGGCGAUGGAUUUCAGCUUUCUGUCAUCAGCUAGAGCCAAGCAGUUUUUCACCGUCUUUUCUAGAAGUUCUUCACAUUUGUCUGCACCCCAGACAGGACUAUUACAGUGGAUCACAAACUUGGCAGGCAGGCCAUGGCCUGCACUAAUAGCAGCUGGAAGGGACAAGAAGAAGCGCAUGUCACAAGAGGCCAAACCCACACCUACUCUUCUGCUCGAGUGACCCCCCUAGCCACCUCUGCGGCCUUUGUCCAUGGGAGACUGCAGCUGCCCUCCUGCAGGAACUAGAAACUGCUCUUCAAGCACCUGCCCACUGAGACAGUAGCAUCCGGUUUGCUGCUAACCAGGAGCUGUGGACGGACGUCAGGGUGCCCCUCUGCCCCAGAAGCAUGGUGUGCUCUUGAGAGCGGCUCAGACCACACACCAGCUCCACUGAAUGCUGGUCAGUCCCUGGGGUGGACCUCUGAUGCCCUACACACUGGUCACAGCAGUCUGGCGGUGUGACCUGACCCUGCCCAUGGUGACAAAACAAGAUGGCCUCUCUAGGGGGCAGCUCUUCCCUUUCUUGCAGGAUGAGCCAGUUCCAGCCACACAUCUCCAGGACUGUCUGCUGAGUGAAUGGACAUGCCAAUCUUGGUUUUCCCUUUCUAACUAAGAACGGUGGUCAUGGCACAUAGGAAAUGGGUGUUUAUGUUUCCCAUUAAAAGGACAGCUGGCUGAAGAAGAUGGCUCGCCAGCAGGCUGGCAGGCAGGUGGCUCAGCCUCACCCUCGCUUGUUCCCUUGUUCCCGGCUCUCAGAUCUGUCACACUCUGCUUCUGUAAAUCCUUUGAAUUUGAGAUUGGGACACCAGGCAGACAGGAGCUACUAGGUAACUUUAAGAUGUGAAGGUGGUUUUCAUGAGCCUUUAGCUCUGCUGACACACUGCAUGGGCUGCGUUCUGAGUGCUCAUGCUCACAGGCCUUCUACCUUGCAGACAGUGGCACUGCUAUACACCCUCAGUCCUCAGCUCCUCCCGCGUGUGCCACACCAGUGAGCACGCACCCUUCCAGCCUUACCUCCAGCUACCUCCAAGGGCCCGUUCUUUUUCCGGAGUUCCAGAACAGCUUCUACAAACUCCUUGCCGCCCUUCUUCUCCAGUGUGUUUCCUAGGCAAGGGUAGGGCAGGGUCAGAGUGCCGCCCUGCCUGUGGCACCCAGACACUCAACAUGUCACGUGAUUACAUACUUUACGUGGCCUGAGCAGCUACAGUUUCACAAGACUGCAAAACAGGAUCUACGCCUUGGCUGGUCAGGGAGGGGACCCCUAGGAAGGAUUUACCCUUGGCCAGUGGCCACGAGGCAACACUGUGCUUUCUGGCUCCUUUGACUGACCCCACUCUGGGUGUCCAUUAAUUCGGGUGGGGAUGCCAGAGAUAUGAAGGGGGCAUCUGACCUUGGAAGAUGUGCCUGGCCUGCAUGUUAGCAUGGGCACCUUUAAAACCAGGUGGCAUUUGCUUCCAAUGAGCCCGCUGAGGUUUUAUCUCGGGGAGAAGCCCCACGUGAGGAGGUCCGUGAGCGAGCAGCGAGUGCUCCUCCUACCGAGCACUCCUGGAAGGAGGCCCAGGAGCAAGUGUCCUGCUGGCCACCUCUGGGCCGGCCCUCCAUGCUUAGUUCCUAUUUUGCAGCUUUGGUGUCAUAUGUGAAUUAAAUAAAAGAAAACAAGAAAAAUG